rnacentral:rRNA from 1 species
GAUCAUGGCUCAGAUUGAACGCUGGCGGAAUGCUUUACACAUGCAAGUCGAGCGGCAGCGCGGGGGCAACCCUGGCGGCGAGCGGCGAACGGGUGAGUAACAUAUCGGAACGUACCCAGUCGUGGGGGAUAACUAUCCGAAAGGAUAGCUAAUACCGCAUACGACCUGAGGGUGAAAGCGGGGGACCGUAAGGCCUCGCGCGAUUGGAGCGGCCGAUAUCGGAUUAGCUAGUUGGUGAGGUAAAGGCUCACCAAGGCGACGAUCCGUAGCUGGUCUGAGAGGACGAUCAGCCACACUGGAACUGAGACACGGUCCAGACUCCUACGGGAGGCAGCAGUGGGGAAUUUUGGACAAUGGGGGCAACCCUGAUCCAGCCAUUCCGCGUGAGUGAAGAAGGCCUUCGGGUUGUAAAGCUCUUUCAGCAGGAACGAAACGGUGGUCCCUAAUACGGGCUACUAAUGACGGUACCUGAAGAAGAAGCACCGGCUAACUACGUG